rnacentral:rRNA from 1 species
GAUGAACGCUGGCGGCGUGCCUAAUACAUGCAAGUCGAGCGAACGGACGAGAAGCUUGCUUCUCUGAUGUUAGCGGCGGACGGGUGAGUAACACGUGGAUAACCUACCUAUAAGACUGGGAUAACUUCGUGAAACCGGAGCUAAUACCGGAUGAUAUUUUGAACCGCAUGGUUCAAAAGUGAAAGACGGUCUUGCUGUCUCUUAUAGAUGGUUCCGCGCUGCAUUAGCUAGUUGGUAAGGUAACGGCUUACCAAGGCAACGAUGCAUAGCCGACCUGAGAGGGUGAUCGGCCACACUGGAACUGAGACACGGUCCAGACUCCUACGGGAGGCAGCAGUAGGGAAUAUUCCGCAAUGGGCGAAAGCCUGACGGAGCAACGCCGCGUGAGUGAUGAAGGUCUUCGGAUCGUAAAACUCUGUUAUUAGGGAAGAACAUAUGUGUAAGUAACUGUGCACAUCUUGACGGUACCUAAUCAGAAAGCAACGGCUAACUACGUG